rfam:Papio anubis isolate 1X1155 chromosome 13, whole genome shotgun sequence.
GUCAGGAUGGCCGAGCUGUCUAAGGCGCUGCAUUCAGGUCGCAGUCUCCCCUGGAGUUAUGGGUUCAAGUCUCACUUCUGACA